GUGAACGCUGGCGGUAGGCCUAACACAUGCACGUCGAACGGCAGCACCGUAAGAGCUUGCUCUUACGGGUGGCGAGUGGCGGACGGGUGAGGAAUACAUCGGAAUCUACUUUUUCGUGGGGGAUAACGUAGGGAAACUUACGCUAAUACCGCAUACGACCUACGGGUGAAAGCAGGGGAUCUUCGGACCUUGCGCGAUUGAAUGAGCCGAUGUCGGAUUAGCUAGUUGGCGGGGUAAAGGCCCACCAAGGCGACGAUCCGUAGCUGGUCUGAGCGGAUGAUCGGCCACACUGGAGCUGGAACACGGUCCAGGCUCCUACGGGAGGCAGCAGUGGGGAAUAUUGGACAAUGGGCGCAAGCCUGAUCCAGCCAUACCGCGUGGGUGAAGAAGGCCUUCGGGUUGUAAAGCCCUUUUGUUGGGAAAGAAAAGCAGCAGGUUAAUACCCCGCUGUUCUGACGGUACCCAAAGAAUAAGCACCGGCUAACUUCGUG
rnacentral:rRNA from 1 species